CUUAGAAGCAAGUCACGGGUCCUAACUCACACUCAAGAGGAGGGAGCCACACAAAGCAAUGACCAUCAGGGGAAGAGAUUAGGGGUGCCACCUUAGAGUUUGCCACACGGUCUUCCUAAGAAAACCAAGAUCUAGAAUUUCUAGUAGAAUUUUCUUUUGUUCGUCUAAGAAUCAAUUGAUUCUUAAUUCUAAGCUUGAAGUGUAACUGCAUUUUUAUGGGCAGAAAGAUCAACCGUGUGAACCAAGCUGAGUAUCUUCACCAGCCCCUGAGUUGCUGCACUGUGAACUGGGUAUACAGACUGCUAAUGCUUUGUUAGGAGUUCUUUCAACAUGGAAACUACUUGAUACAUCAGCUUUGAAGCAAUGCGGCAUACGCAUGCUCUAGAAAGGUAAAAUGCUAAGGUCUGUCCUGCUGAAGAGUCCAGUGGCCACACCAGUUUCACAUUACACAGAACACAGCUUCUUCACAACCUCUGACCAUCUCCAUCCUCUGAAGUGGUCCACUGGAUCUAAUGUCCCAACAUGCUGUGCUAUUUGUAACAUGCUGAGGGCUCUGCCCCACUUACAUUCUUUACCUCUUCUAUAUGAUGCAUUAAA
rnacentral:lncRNA from 10 species